AGGAGCACCGAGUGUUUCCACUGAUUUGGAAAGCAAUUUAAUCCUCUGCCACUGAGAAGGAAAUGGUUGUGUAAGUCUGAAGAAGGAAUGCAUCAUAAUCCCAGAAGAUGUAGGCAACAAUUUCUGUUUGCUUCUAAAGAAGGAGGUGCACAGAAAGGUCCUGGAGUAUUAAGGUACUUGACUGUCUUUGAUGGUGUCUCCCUAGGACCUUUGGAGAGCUCAAAUGAAAAGCCAGGUUCUCUGUGGCUGGGCAAUGUGGAUGUGACAGCCCCACAGUGCACUCCUUACGUACCCUCCCAGCGUGCAUGCAGGAGAAGGAUGUGAUUAGUGUUUUCUGCCAUGAGACCUCAGCUGAGGGAUGAGAACUGUGUGCCAAGAUGAGGAAAGAGCUGCCAUGGAUAGAUGAAGACAUCUCUUUCAAACAUGAAGCAUAGCUAGCCCAAACCGGAUCCCAGUUCUCCGUGGGGACUGACCUGCAGGGCUGAUGAGAUGAAACAGAACAAGUCCUCAGCCCUCUCCGGAACUAAACUGCAAAACCACAGGCUCCACCAAAGCCCUUCUCCCAGCAGAGUCUCUGUCUCUCAAGUUAGAGUUGGAGAUAUUGACAGGAUAUUCCUCUCUGCAGCCUGCCUGACAUCCAACAGAGGCAAAGGAACAAAUGCACAGAUCCAGCUAUUGUCUGAUGCUGGGCUUAUACCACAAGCACUCAAGAGCAGUAAAAAGAGUGCUAAGACCACAGAUUUCACCUUUAAUUUAAACCCCACUUUUUAAGGAUGGAGCCAGAACUGGUCAUGCAAGGGAGGAUCCAGCUCCAAGCACUCAGAGGAAGCAAACAGACCCUUUAAUGACAUUUAAUGCUGAAGAAAGCAGGGAGGGAUUCAGCGUGAAGCCACAAAACCAAUUUUGAAGAAGAAACACAGCUUGCCUCCUGUCCCCUGUCCCUGUGAACCAAAGGGAAGAGGCUGUCCAUCAGUGCCUGUCUCUUCAGGUUGGCACUCCAUGCAAGGCUAGCACCCCCCAGUGCUCAGUGGUCUCUUUGAGUGUGGUUCUGUUUAGGUUGGCUGCCACUGAUCCCAGCCUGUCUUCAGCACAUGGAUGCUUUUAACCCCUCAGGGAGGGGUCAACAUGGCCAGCUGGAGGGGGAGAGUGCCAGCCUGCUGCACGCUCUGUGGCUGAUGAGGACACUGCCGCGAUUCAUUCAUGUCCCUGCUCAGGGCACAGAUUGUAAACACAGUAGGGAAGCCAGGCCACGUCCCAGCCCAGCUUGGCUGCCUGCCUGGAGGUCCCCAUUGCCCAGAAUUUGGAGCUUGCCUCUUUUUCCAUUACCUCCAAGCAGUAAUGGUGAAUGUUUCUGUAACAUUUCCUAAAAAUAAAAAUGUCAAUAGCCG